rnacentral:rRNA from 1 species
AGAGCGAACGCUGGCGGCAGGCUUAACACAUGCAAGUCGAGCGGGCGUAGCAAUACGUCAGCGGCAGACGGGUGAGUAACGCGUGGGAACGUACCUUUGGUUCGGAACAACCCAGGGAAACUUGGGCUAAUACCGGAUAAGCCCUUACGGGGAAAGAUUUAUCGCCGAAAGAUCGGCCCGCGUCUGAUUAGCUAGUUGGUGAGGUAAUGGCUCACCAAGGCGACGAUCAGUAGCUGGUCUGAGAGGAUGAUCAGCCACAUUGGGACUGAGACACGGCCCAAAACUCCUACGGGAGGCAGCAGUGGGAAUAUGGACAAUGGGCGCAAGCCUGAUCCAGCCAUGCCGCGUGAGUGAUGAAGGCCCUAGGGUUGUAAAAGCUCUUUUGUGCGGGAAGAUAAUGACGGUACGCAAGAAUAAGCCCGGCUAACUUCGUGCCAGCAGCCG